rnacentral:lncRNA from 1 species
CUCCGAGUAAUUUCCCUGAAAUAUUUGCAGGAUCUGAUCUACAUUGUAUUCAGCAGCUGGUUUGUCUGAGCUGUGCACUGGAAGGAGUAAAACAAAGGAUGGGCUCUUCACAGACUGAUACUUUUGUCUUCCCAACUUGAUCCCAGCAAAAUUUGGAACAUCCUAAGGUCCACAAAAGUAGUAAACUUCCAUGAUACCUUUGAAUUCCUGGAACAAUACUGCACCUCUUUCAGUCCCUCAUAUACCUUAUAUUACUUGAAAGUUUGGGUCCAAACAUCUGCAUACAGUUAAGCUCCAAUGAACAAAUUUCAAGUUUUGACCCCAUGAAUGAACCCCACACCCACUUCCUUCUACCCACUCCAUUCCUCAUAACCAGCUACCUCAUCUUACUGGUUGUUCCUGGAAUUUCUUUAGCAGCAAUUUGAAUUUGA